UGAUAAUUUUGGAUUACGAAAGAAAAAAAAUCCAGAUAACAUUCGAAAGAUAGUACACAGGCCUUAAAACUAAAAUGACUUUAUUCACCUGUGGGGGAGUGGGACCAGCCAAUCCUUUAACCUGGAGUGCCUCAGCUGCAUUGAGAAGCUGUGGCAACUUGUCAUGAGCGACGUUCACUUCCCCUUUAUACAUGAAUUUAACUAAUGCCUCGACUUCCCAGAACUUCAGAUCCUUCAUCAGAAUAAUUGGAUGUUGACAGGGAUUUUCACGUAACAAUGCAGCUAGGUAAUCACUGCACGACGAGAGAAUGAUUUUGUGGCACUUGACAGAUUUGCCCUCGCAGGCGAGAGUCACAUCGACGAAUUCCUCAGAGUCCAGGAGGGAUGGGAAACUGGUCUGCAUGUUGCUGUGGUAACUGUUCCACCUCAGGCAUACCUGGAAAGAGAUUGAAUGUUCUCAUGGAGUCACAAAGUCAAAAGUGUUCAUUUUACUACUGGAGACGAUGAUUUUUUACCUCAGCCGGCUGUUGGGGGACGACAUUCUGUGGCACUCGAACCGGCUGUUGCCUCGGUAACAUCUUUAUAGUCGUAGGAGCAACUUGCUUCAUCUUCAGUGGAAUUGUCUUCAGGACCAGCGUUUUAGAGGCAUUCUUUUGUUGAGAGGAAGGUGCAGGAGCGAUGUUCCUCAACUGGGGGCGAACUGGUUGGCUCGGCGCCUUCAGAGAUUUCGGGGACGAGUUGCUCUGAGAAUUUGACUGCAUGACUGUUGACAAAAAGAAAAAUAAUUAAUUCCAGAGUAGAUGAAUGAUUUCACGUGUGGAGCCUCAGGAUUGUCAUACCAACAGAUGCAGGCUCGCUGGGUUCUGAUUCUGGUUCUGGGUCAGUCACUUCAUCUGCUGUUUCCAUCGAGGUGUUCUCCUCUUUAAUAUUUAAACUGCAGUCGACGAACAGUGGAUCAUCAGUGUCUGCCGACUGCUCUGGCAGUUCUGAUGGUGCCUUAGGCACCUCAGGCUCUUCCUUCGAUGUGGAAGCAGAUGUUGAUGGCCUCAAAACAACAGACUCUGUUAUCUGCUGACAUAUCUUUCGUUUUUUCUCCUUGGAAUACUCGAUGAAGUGCCUUGCCACCUUCGAUUUCCAUCCCCCGUGGCGUUUGAGGGUGGCCAGAUCUGCACCAGAAUCAGCGAGCAGUGUUGCUGAAGUACGACGAAAGCUGUGACCUGUGUAGCUCUCUGGAUUCGGCAAUUUCAGGUCGUAGCUUCAAGUACUUCCUGUACAUGUUGUAGAAUUCCCCGCAAAUGGUGAAUGAACGCUCGGGAUCGCUUUCGGUUUUUGGAAUUGUCACGAAGGCCAUUACACCGUCGUCCUCUAUGUCAUCCAUUGUUACGUUGCAGAGCUCUUGUCUUCUACAGGCUCCAAUUAUUCCAAAAAUCAGUGCAACCUGUAAAUUAAAUUGUUGUAAUGUGGAAGAUGUUGGAAUAAAAUUCAAUGAGCUUUCAA